rnacentral:rRNA from 1 species
AUUGAACGCUGGCGGCAGGCCUAACACAUGCAAGUCGAACGGUAACAGGAAGCAGCUUGCUGCUUCGCUGACGAGUGGCGGACGGGUGAGUAAUGUCUGGGAAACUGCCUGAUGGAGGGGGAUAACUACUGGAAACGGUAGCUAAUACCGCAUAACGUCGCAAGACCAAAGAGGGGGACCUUCGGGCCUCUUGCCAUCGGAUGUGCCCAGAUGGGAUUAGCUAGUAGGUGGGGUAACGGCUCACCUAGGCGACGAUCCCUAGAUGGUCUGAGAGGAUGACCGGCAACACUGGAACUGAGACACGGUCCAGACUCCUACGGGGGGCAGCAGUGGGGAAUAUUGCACAAUGGGCGCAAGCCUGAUGCAGCCAUGCCGCGUGUAUGAAGAAGGCCUUCGGGUUGUAAAGUACUUUCAGCGGGGAGGAAGGCGAUAAGGUUAAUAACCUUGUCGAUUGACGUUACCCGCAGAAGAAGCACCGGCUAACUCCGUGCCAGCCGCCGCUGUAAGAC